rnacentral:lncRNA from 1 species
CCAACUUCAUAUACAUACCUCACCUACCCUUUUCUUACGCUUAACAUCAAAGAGUGCCUAAAAUCAAGGAACCACAAUCAAGCGAUUUUCAAAUUUUGAAUUUACAAACGUGUUCUUAUCAAAUUGCUUAACAUCAACUUUUUAACAAAAAGAAAUCACAAUCGUUGCAUUCCACUCUUCUCCGGUCAGUGCACCCCACCAACCCCUUCUCUUUGCCUUCGUCGUUUCUCCGAUGAGAAGCUCCAUCUCUGAUUAACUGGAGCAAACCUCAACAGACCAACAACCCAUUCGAUCGAUGAAAUCGGACCAACCAUUUUCACUACUUCGGCGAACGAGCCACCAGCCAGCUGCUUCAUCUUUCCCCGUUCUCUCAAUCAAAAAUUCCGUAACACCCGAAAGGUUUCUCUCCUCCUAUGAGUUUCAAAAAUACUUUGACG